rnacentral:lncRNA from 1 species
GAAAAGAGCGGGGCCAUGAAAAAAGUGCGCAGCUUUUCAUCCUCACCAUUGUGAACCACAUUUUUCCUUUCUCAAACUAAUUCCUCCAUGAAAUCUCACCAAAAAAACAAACAUCACCUAUUCAUAGCUGAUUAAAAUCAUCAAAACCCAAUAAUACCAUCAUGUACAAAGCUUAGUAAUCACCGUGUCUAGUAACUGCCUUUCCACCGUGCGAAUCACCAAAAUACCACAAUAUAUUAUGUUCCUCUUAAUCUUUUUAAAAACAGAGCAAAUAUUCUAGGCUAGAGCUUUUCAUGUGGUGCAAGAAUAAAGAUUGAUGAAAUUAGGUACAAUAACAAAGUGAAAAAUCAGACGCGUAUGCUACACAUGAAUUGGAAAAGGAAAAAGGCACAAUCAAAGUUAAAGGGAAAAUAGAAAUAAUUGAGGGAAUCUUCAAUGACUUUAAGGUCUUGGUUGCUUAGAUCUAGUAGCGAGGAUGUCUGUUCCGAGGUUGGAUAUUUCCGGCGAGGUUGCUGGCGAGUCCUCUGUUCUCUUGGUCGAGUUGUUCUUGUUGAAUUCCCACCCUUGUAUUCAAGAAGUGUUUCUGAUAUAAAAGGUCCGUUCCAUCUCACCUUUUGUCAAUUGCUAUCUUAUUUGGUGUUGGAAUGAUAUAUUUAGCCAAAUUCCUUGUUUGUGAUAUUCUGUUCAUAAUUGAAAUUGCUCAUAGUUGGNNNNNNNNNNNNNNNNNNNNNNNNNGGAUGUGAUGAUGCCUAUUCAUAGAAGCAGUUUCAAGGAUAUUUAUUUGGUUUAUGAGUUGAUGGAUACAGAUCUUAAUCAUAUCAUUAAGUCGUCGCAACCUUUUUGUUGGCAUUGCUUUGAAAAUGUAAUAGAAGAUACAGCAAAUUAAUGUGAACAAAUAGUCCAAAUGUUUAAAACCAUCGACCAUACAAAUGAAUUUAUUAGUGGGCCCGUCUUUAAAUAAGCACUAAGUCAUAAUAUCUUCACUUACAAAUGACUUCCAUAAAUUAUGACCUUCACAAUAAUUUCAAACUAGUUUUAGGAAAUAAUUUGAACAUUGUAGCUUGCUUUAGGCGCGAUUAAUAAAUCAUCGUGUCUAUGGGUACGGUUCCCUGGCAUGGUCACGAUACGUAAUCCCCAAUUCGGGUGUGCAUUUCAUGCGACUCAAACGUAACAACUUUGAAUAAUAAUAAAAUACAGAUGUCGUGAAUCGCGGGUGCAUUUCAUGCAGCAUGGUUCGCGGCGUGUUCCAAAACAAACAAGUGUACGACAAUCGUAACUUGUUCAAGAAAUAAUUUUAUAAAUCCUAAAAAACGAUCAAAUGAUUAAAAGCGGUUAUAAAGUUAAAAUUUACAAUUGGCUAAAAACAUGUAGUAAAUUAGAUAAUAGGCCAAUAUUAAUAGUUUAAGCGACCGUGCUAGAACCACGGAACCCCGGAAUGCCUAACACCUUCUCGCGGGGUUAACAGAAUUCCUUACCCAAAUUUUUGUGUUCGCAGACAGUAAAUAGACUCAAUCUUCCUCGAUUCCGGAUUUUAAACCGGUGACUUGGGACACCAUAAAUUAUCCCAAGUGGCGACUAUAAAUUUUAAAUAAAAUAAUCCCGUUUCGAUUGUCAGUUAAAUUGGAAAAAACUCCCUUAUACCCCUCGGGUGGUAAAAAAGGAGGUGUGACACUAGGUAAACCUAACAAUUUGCGCAAUAACAUAAAUGAAAAUAGAAUUUAACAGCUAGACUGCAACAGAUAACUAUAUAAUGAUAAAAUGUCGCUCGGCAUGUACAAGUAAACCAGCACUCGAGUAUACACAAUAUUUCCAAAACCCGGUAAUCAUAAGUCACAAACUCUAAUAAUUUUUCUAACUGUUUCUAUACAUCAAUAACUAGAAGAAAUAAAGGAGGAACAACAUAAAAGGGAUAGAGGGGGACUCGGAGGUCUACGGAGGCAGGUAGAUAUACCUUGAAGUGUCUUGAGCAGCAGCUAUGCGACUAAUAGCGGGACUGGUAGGAGGUACCGGGACCUACACACAAAACAUGUGCAUAAGAGUAGAAUGAAUACACCAUAAUGGUACCAGUAAGUGACAAGCCUAACCUUAGUAGAGUAGUGACGAGGUCAGGUCAGGACCCCAAUGGUAUAUAAUAAGCAAGACAGAAGAUAUAAUAAUGUAAAUAGGCUGAGAAUCUAACAAGGAGAAUUACCAAAAAUAACAACACAAUACAUAGAGAUAAAUAAUAGGGGCGCUCCCGAGAUACCGUUUCGUAGUCCCAAAAGUAAAUGAUAAACAGGGGAUCUCUCGAGAUACCGUCUCGUAGUCCCAAAAGUAAAUAUACAUGGAGAUCUCCUAAGAUGCCGCCUCGUAGUCUCAAAAGUAAAUGUGCAGGAGGAUAUCCCUAGGUACCGCCUCAUAGUCCAAAAGUAAAUGUGCAGGAGGAUCUCCCGAGGUACCUCCUCGUAGUCCCAAAGGUAAACACACAGCUCGAAACAUAUGAAAACAACAUUUAACAAUAAGAACUCUACAAUUUAAGACUGAUACGAAUCAAGGAAUAAUAGGAAUUCAACUAAGCAUGCCGCAUAGAUUUCAAAUAAGCAUUUAAGACAUGUAGGCAUACGAUACUAGGCUAAACAGGAUAACAACACAUGCGGGUAUAACUCAAUGAAGAUGUAACAUGUUACUACUCAGUGAAACCCGAAUUUUUCAACAAUUAGCCUGUGUACGCAUUCUUCACCUUGCAUACACAUCACUCGCAUAUCACAGAAAUAUCACAACAGUACCAAACACUAAGGGGAUUUUCCCCACACAAGGUUAGGCAAGCCACUUACCUUGCACCAAGCUAAUCAAUUAGUAAAAAUGCCUUUUCUGCAAUUUUUCGACUCCGAGUGGCCCAAAUCUAGCCAAAAACAAUCACAUACCUUAAAUAUAACUAUAAGAAACUAAUCUAAUUAAUGAAAUUAAGUUAUUAUCAAGAAAUUAGAAAUUCACCCCAAAAUGUAAACCCGAGCUCACGUCUCAGAAUCGAGUAAAAGUAAAAAAACGAACACCCAUUCAGCCACAAGUUCACUCGUACCAAAAUUACUCAAAUCUGAUCUCAAAAUCUCAAACAAAACCCAAAAAUUUGGUUGAAGAACUUUCAAACUUUUUCUCCAAUUUUCUCAACCCAAAUCCUUAAUUAAAUGAUAAAAUUAACUAUAGGUUAUGGAAUAUAACCAUAAAUGAGUUAAGAAUCAAUACCAUAUCGCUUCAUCUAAAAAUCCCUUAAAUUAUCGCCUAAAUCUGAGCUCUCAAGUCCCAAAGUGAAAAUGAGAUCAAACCCUCAUAAUUUCCCCCUUUCUGCCCUGUGAUCUCGCACAUGCGGACCCCCAGUCGCACCUGCAAUGCCGCACUUGCCGAAUUUCCAUUGCAGGUGCGGAAUUGACUUAAGACACCUGGGUCUGCUUCUGCGAUCAAGUAGCCACACCUACGCACUUGCGGAUAAUUGUCCGCUUAUGCGAAAUCCUUACCCAGCUCGACUCCCGCAUCUGCGAUCACUUCUCCGCAGGAGCGGCUCCACUUCUGCGGUCCUUUUGUCGUACCUACGACCACUGGCUAUCCAUAAUAGGGCCACAUCUGCGGUCAACGUCACCGCAGGUGUGAUGACACUAGAAGUUGAAAAACUUCAGCAAUUCUCACAAGUCUAAAAUUUAUCCGAAAAUAAUUUGAAACACACCCGAGUCCCCCGGGACCUCAAUCAAAUAUAUAAACAAGUCCUAAACACCAUACGAACUUAACCAAGCCCUCAAAUCACAUCAAACAAUAACAAAAAAAUGAAUCACACUCCAAUUCAAACUUAUUGAACUUGAAAUUUCAAACUUCUACAACCGAUACCGAAACCUAUCAAAACAUGUACGAUUGACCUCAAAUAUUGAACAAAAGUCAUAUUCGACAUUACUGACCUACUCUAGCUUUCAGAAUCAGAAUCCGACCUCGAUAUCAAAAAUUCCACUCACGGUCUAACUUCCUAAAAAUUUAACUUUUGCCAUUUCAAGCCUAAUUCAGUUACUGACCUCGAAAUCACAAUCCGAACACGCUCUUAAAUCCAAAAUCACCCAACGAAGCUAACAUAACUGAUAAAACUCCAUUCUGGAGUCAUCUUCAUAUAUUUCCAACUACGGUCAAAAUCCUAGAACUUAAGCUUCCGUUUUAGAGACUAAGUGUCUCAAAUCACUCCGAAACCAAAACAAAACUUUCUGAAAAGUUACAUAAGUAGAAAAAGAUACGGGAAAAACAAUAAUUAAGGGAUCGGAACUAAUACUCUCAAAAUGACCGACCGGAUCAUUCCAUUAGGGCCCUAAUCCUGGUUAAUUUGUUCAUCAUUUUCUCACAUAAGUCUACCAUCAUCUGCCUUCCCUUUGUAUCAAAUUUUGUGACAUGAACAUCCAACAUUGAUAGAAUCCAAGUGUCAUCUCGGAUAUAAGCAUAAUAAAUUAAUAAUCAUGAUUAAUUGCACCUCAAGAGAUAUAACUAUCCGGAGAAGAAAAAAAUGCCUAUUAGAGAGUGUUUUUCUCUUAAAUGGGUGUUAUACAAUGCAAAUCUUAACGGGUUUAAAUGAUUUCUCUUCUAUGGAGCUGUAGUUGUUUUACCCAUUCAGUGGGUUCACUUAACACCAUCAAUUCCUAUUACUUCAUUAACACUAUCAGAUCCUAUUACUUCACUACUUCAUAAACAAGAAAAAAUAUUUGCUCUCUGACUCAAACAACUGUGACUAUCUCUAAACAAUCUAUGUUAUGUUUUUAAGCUAUUUGUCACAUGAUCCUAUUUUCUGCGUUUGUAUUUCCUUUUUAUCAUGUCAAAAGAAAACUUUAAACCGCAAAUCUUUGCAUAAUAGUUGGGUUAUAUAAGUCGUAAAAUUGCAAUAUAUAAGAUGCAAUUUGUAAUUGCGAUAUAUACAUCGAAAUUGAAAAUUGCGAUAUAUGCAUUUAUAUUGCGAAGUAUAAAUCGCAUUUACCAAUUGCAAUUUAUAUAUUGUAUUUACUAAUUCUUUAUAAGUGCCAUUUGCCAAUGUAAAUGCCUAUAUUUUGACCAUAUUUUUCUAUUUGAUUUUGUGUUAUUAGUUUGAAAUAUAAUAAUAGAAUGGUAAAGAAUUGGGCCAAUUAGUUUUUGUUUUAUCAGUUGGGCCUAAAUCAUGCCAAAUCAAAGGUCCAAUCCGUUUGAACUGUCCCAGCCUAGGCUUGUCUGAUGGAGCAUUCAAGCAACAUAGUUUCAAGGCAAAACUACGUCGUUUUAUUUACUGAAUCAGAUAUUAAAUCUCACCAGUCCAUGCCCUGAUGAUCCAACGACUGAAGAUCAAUCCCCCACUCAGGUAUUUAAACCCCUAAAUACCAAAAUAUUUGCUCUAUUUUCCCUAUUUCCUUUCUUUCUCUCCUCUGUCCUCACUCUCUUAAACUCCCCGCGUCUCCACUACCCCUCACGGUGGCUCUGCUGGCCGAAAAUCGCCACCACCGGCCGGUCUUCAUCCAAACCCCAUAAAACCUUACAACAAUCUCUUUCUCUUUUUACCCUCUCUCCUAAUUCGAGCCCCAAAUCUUCAAAAAUCCCUCUAAAUUCUGUGAAAUCAAAACCUUAGAUAGCCGCCAUUUAUUUUCCUCUUCAAUUUCACGAAGAACCAGUGACUACACCCCCCACAAAAACUACAUGAACAUGUAGAUCUCAAUGAGAUCUACACUUUCCUUUUAACUUCAUCCCAAAAACACCACCGCCGCCGAUCCAACUAGCCCACUAUCCAAGCCACCCUUACCAUUGACAAGCCUCAAUGUUUAUAAUAUUUUUGACCCAUGGACACCCAUUUCCUUUAGGUAUGAAUCUGAAUUUAUUGAAUUUAGCGUCUGCCAAAAUGAAACGUGUGCUUCAAGGUCAGACAGCCACGUUUUGAUGACCCCGACAUCUCUUCGUUGCUCGAUUUGGCAUCGACUUUCCCUCAUAUGGUAAAACCCUACCUCCCUUUCUUUUUAUUUUUCUUUCUUUCCUUUUCUGUUUUUGUUUUUGCUAUUUAGAUUUCAGUUGAUUUCUUCGCUUGAUUUGGUCAUUCCUGAUUCAUUUGGCUGCACUAAUAUAAUUUGAAAUAGUUGUAUUAUCUAAUCGUUAGUCAUUUUUUGCUAUUAAUUAUUGUCUGAUAGUGCAGCAAUACUAUGUUUAAAUUUGUUUAGUGCAAUAGGUUAUAGUUUCAGUUGCUCUAUGUUAAUUUUCUCAUAAAUCAAACUGAUUUUAGUCUGGUUUAUUUGAAUGCUUAGCUUGGUUACGAUUGAAGUCAUAUUUACUUUGUCAAUUCAAUUAGUGAGUUAAGUUCUAGUUUAAGUUUGAUUUAUGUUGAUCUAGUUUGGUGUUGAUAGUUUAAAGUUGGAUGGUAGAUGAGUUUAAUCAUGAAAUAUGACACUUUAGUAGCCUACUUCUUACUAGUAGGGUGGCUGAAAGGACCCCUUUCCUCCGUACUUCUGCCACAGUAGGUUUCAGGCUAUCAUUUCACCUUUUGGGAAGCCUUUGAACUGUGUUUAGCAUACAAAAUCGAUUUUUUUAGAUUGAUUUUUGGUGAAUCAAAAUUUGUCCAAAAAAUGACUUUCUUUGCCUACUUACGGGCUGCUCUUUCCUUACUUUAAGCUUACAAAACUAUCAUAUAUAGAAGACAUCUUUUACACACUAAAAACACAUAACUAAAUAGAGUAAAACAACAGCUAAAAUUUUAUAGUGAGAGCUGAAACUGGUGAGCUUCGGGUGAAUGUUUCUCAGAGUGUAUCACUUGUGAGAAAAUAAAGGAAUCCUUGGUGGUUGCCGGAGUAAGUAGCUACUGGUAUCAAAUACUUUCUUGCUAGAUUUUUCUGGGUUUUUUUCUCGGGUUAUAAGUUGUUGAUUUUGUUGCUGAAAUUCAAUUCCUCCCUUGAUGACAUUUUCUUUCUACUAUCCAGGUAAUUUUCUUAAAAUGCUACUAUAAUUUUGAGUCAAGAUUGAAUGGACACGAAGUAAUUUGAGUUUCUUUUCAAUUUAUUUUAAGCUUUAAAAGCACUUUGUUCUUGUAAGGUUUUGUGUGUGAGCAUAUAUGAUAAAUUUUGGACUUCUAUGUAUAUUCUAGUUGACAAAAUGUCUUAAACCUUCUGGUUCUUAGUUGCUUUGUUAUUAUGACUCACUAUCACCUUUGUUUCA